rnacentral:rRNA from 1 species
GGGGGGGAAUUUUACAUAUCAAUAAGCGGAGGAAAAGAAACCAACAGGGAUUGCCCUAGUAACGGCGAGUGAAGCGGCAACAGCUCAAAUUUGAAAUCUGGCGUCUUUGGCGUCCGAGUUGUAAUUUGCAGAGGGCGCUUUGGCAUUGGCAGCGGUCCAAGUUCCUUGGAACAGGACGUCACAGAGGGUGAGAAUCCCGUACGUGGUCGCUAGCCUUUACCGUGUAAAGCCCCUUCGACGAGUCGAGUUGUUUGGGAAUGCAGCUCUAAAUGGGAGGUAAAUUUCUUCUAAAGCUAAAUACUGGCCAGAGACCGAUAGCGCACAAGUAGAGUGAUCGAAAGAUGAAAAGCACUUUGGAAAGAGAGUUAAAAAGCACGUGAAAUUGUUGAAAGGGAAGCGCUUGCAGCCAGACUUGCCUGUAGUUGCUCAUCCGGGUUUUUACCCGGUGCACUCUUCUACGGGCAGGCCAGCAUCAGUUUGGGCGGUUGGAUAAAGGUCUCUGUCAUGUACCUCCUCUCGGGGAGAACUUAUAGGGGAGACGACAUGCAACCAGCCCGGACUGAGGUCCGCGCAUCUGCUAGGAUGCUGGCGUAAUGGCUGUAAGCGGCCCGUCUUGAAACACGGACCAAGGAGUCUAACAUCUAUGCGAGUGUUUGGGUGUCAAGCCCGAGCGCGUAAUGAAAGUGAACGGAGGUGGGAACCUUUCGGGGUGCACCAUCGACCGAUCCUGAUGUCUUCGGAUGGAUUUGAGUAAGAGCAUAGCUGUUGGGACCCGAAAGAUGGUGAACUAUGCUUGAAUAGGGUGAAGCCAGAGGAAACUCUGGUGGAGGCUCGCAGCGGUUCUGACGUGCAAAUCGAUCGUCAAAUUUGGGCAUAGGGGCGAAAGACUAAUCGAAC